rnacentral:lncRNA from 1 species
GGGCGUGCUGGUGGGCGGCAACCAAAUAUUGUCCCUGCAUUUACUCAUGAAGUGUUCAACCAAACCUUUUAAAAUUUUAAUAUGUUGUUACUGACAACAAAAUGGAGGUCAAGUUCAACAAUGACGAUUUUGACUUUUACCGUUCAGGAGUUACGGUUCUUGAAAGUUUAAAAAAUGUUGUGUCCGUGCAUUUACUCAUGAACCGU